ACGCUGGCGGCAUUGCUUACACAUGCAUGUCGAACGGCAGCACGGGAGCAUCCUGGUGGCGAGUGGCGAACGGGUGAGUAAUAUAUCGGAACGUGCCCAGUCGUGGGGGAUAACGCAGCGAAAGCUGUGCUAAUACCGCAUACGAUCUACGGAUGAAAGCGGGAGAUCGCAAGACCUCGCGCGAUUGGAGCGGCCGAUAUCCGAUUAGCUAGUUGGUGGGGUAAAGGCCCACCAAGGCGACGAUCUGUAGCUGGUCUGAGAGGACGACCAGCCACACUGGAACUGAGACACGGUCCAGACUCCUACGGGAGGCAGCAGUGGGGAAUUUUGGACAAUGGGCGCAAGCCUGAUCCAGCAAUGCCGCGUGCAGGAUGAAGGCCUUCGGGUUGUAAACUGCUUUUGUACGGAACGAAACGGUGAGCUCUAAUAAAGUUUGCUAAUGACGGUACCGUAAGAAUAAGCACCGGCUAACUACGUGCCAGCAGCCGCGGUAAUACGUAGGGUGCGAGCGUUAAUCGGAAUUACUGGGCGUAAAGCGUGCGCAGGCGGUUAUGUAAGACAGAUGUGAAAUCCCCGGGCUCAACCUGGGAACUGCAUUUGUGACUGCACAGCUAGAGUACGGCAGAGGGGGAUGGAAUUC
rnacentral:rRNA from 1 species